GGUCUACGGGGUCACUAAGAGCUGGACAGGAUUUAGUAACUGAAGCCCACACAGAUGUCUGGCAGCCCUCGUUUGGUCUCUCACCUCCUGACACACAACAGUUGCCUCUUCUGUGCAUUUGCCUCCUCCUGAUCCUUUGUUUAUUGAAGAGAGGGGACCUUGACACCCACCGAUCAAAGUUAAAUACUUGACACCACAAGGAAGAUGCGAUGCAGAGCAGAGGUUCUUCAACUGAAGAGUGUCAGAAUCGCCUGGUGUGUGUUAGUCGCUUAGUUGUG